GCCGAUGUAGCUCAGCUGGUAGAGCGGGAGUAUCGUAAACUUCAGGUCGCAAGUUCAAGUCUUGUCAUCGGCUCCA
rnacentral:tRNA from 1 species